rnacentral:rRNA from 1 species
UACGUAGGGAGCAAGCGUUGUCCGGAAUUACUGGGCGUAAAGGGCGCGUAGGCGGGGAUUUAAGUUAGAUGUGAAAACACCGGGCUCAACUUGGUGACUGCAUUUAAAACCGGAUUUCUUGAGGGCAGGAGAGGAAAGUGGAAUUCCUAGUGUAGCGGUGAAAUGCGUAGAUAUUAGGAGGAACAUCAGUGGCGAAGGCGACUUUCUGGACUGUACCUGACGUUGAUGCGCGAAAGCGUGGGGAGCAAACGGG